rnacentral:misc_RNA from 1 species
AAGUCGUAACAAGGUUUCCGUAGGUGAACCUGCGGAAGGAUCAUUACAGAAUAAACCUGAUGAGUUGUAGCUGGUCCACUCUUGUGGGCAAGUGCUCACUUGUCAUUUUUAUCCAUCCACCAUGUGCACUAUGCAUGGGUCUGAAGAAUAUUUUAUUCAGUCAGAGCUUGCUUUGAUUGUUGGGAAUCUGCUAUUGCAACAGAUGGCUUUUUCUGACUUCAGUACCUAUGAUUUAUUUAAAUACACCAAUGUAUGUUUUAAGAACGCUUCACUAGGCCCACAAAGCCUAUAAAUUUAUUAUACAACUUUCAGCAACGGAUCUCUUGGCUCUC